UGGUGGGUGACAUCCCCUUCACACAGCGGGUCUGCCAGGGAGCUGGGAUGUGACCCCAAGUAGUCUGGGAGCAGCUGCCCCCUAGCUGCUCCUCAGUGCAAACAAAGUGAUCCGCGGAGGGGCCCACAGGCUCAGGCCAGAGGGGACCCCAUCGGUGGCCCAGCAACCAGGGAACAAAGGUGCAGGUCCUGAUGGGUCCACACCCAGCAGCCUGGAGUCAGGGACGGGCUCCAGACCCGUGGCCCCGGCACCUCACGACCUCCCGGGCAUCUGCUCUGGAACAUAAGGGGGCGGCCUGCACCUCCCCAGCCCUCCCGGCUCCAAACUGCGGCAGUUACUUUGGGCCAAGGCGUGAGCCCCUCCUGCUGGGCCGCUGGCAGGGAGAACCUGGGCAGAGGCGCCAGCCCCUCUCCUGCCCCCGCGUGCUCGGGAGGGUGCUGGAUAGUGGCUGAGAAGGUGCCGGGCCGGGGCCGGGAGACCUGGCUUUGGCUCAGGUUCUGCUUCCACAGCUCAUGCUUGGCGUCUCCCGCCUCGUCGCUCGCAUCUGAUGGACCAAAGCGGGGUCCGCCAGCCACCCCGACUCUGCAGGGCCGGGGGGAGACCAGGCGAGGUGGCGGAUCCACACCGCCCUUGAGACUACGAGGAGUUGGGGCUGUGACGACCUCUUACCCUCUCUGUCACCUCACUCACUGAGGUGAGGACAGGACCUGAAGUGAGAGAAUGGCCACGGGGCUGGCAUGUCCCCCACAGUCACGUCACAGUCACCGCCUCGGGGGCCGGGGCCGGGAAGCCAAAUGGCAACCACACAAACUGCCUUCAGGUCACCGAGGUGAGGCAGAGGACACCCAGGUGCAGAAGCGGCUUUUCCUGCACUGACUCAUCGGGGCUUCAAAGGCAAAACCUCAGGGAGCCGACCCCAAAAUGACGAUUCAUCUGUUAAACAAUGAGCUUGUGCACCCACCGCGUACCAGACACUGGAGGACAGUGAGCUGCGGCAUCCCGGACCGCCCCGAACCCACAGAGCCGAGGGACCGUCGGGCCUCUCUGGGGACAGGACACGAAGAGAAGCAUGUUGGAGCGACAGCCAAAGUCCGACUGGGGAAUCUGGGGAGCCAAAGUCCUGAUGGAACAUGAGGCCACUGAGCAGGGACCAACGACUCAGCCCCAGGAAGAGCCGUGGGCACCUCAGAGCCCCAGAAAUCCCACUAGGGCCAGCGGCGACAGAGGCCAGGCUCCUGGGCGCAUCCGUGGGCGGAUGACACUCAGCCUGCAGCUCUUCCACAAGCCUCUGCAGUCUCCCUUUCUCCUGGAACGAGGUGCCUGCUGCGCUGAUCACCUUCGGCCUCUGUGGGAGCUUGCUUACCCCGUAAAUUAAGCAUUUCCUUCUCAGUGUGUGUCCCCAGUUCACUUGGGCCAGAGGCUCAGCAAACAUUUCUCAGCAUUUUGCCAAAGUUUCCCCUCUCAGUCUACGACACACAAGCAGCGACUGAAAUGUUAUCAGCUAGUCCUCAAGGCCAGGCCCUGGCUGGGGAAACCCAGAAGUGCAGGCGAGGCCCUGCGCUUAGGAAUUUAUAACCUAGUUAUUGAAACUUAAUAGCAUGAAGAUGCAGCCCGCCUGCAGCCCCGUCAUGCAGGAGCCGUGCGGAUACUGUGCUGAAUGCAGCCGGAGGGGGCGAGGUCACGCCCGGCCAGCACACGCUUCUUGGAAGAGGUGGCACUUGAUCUGACCUUGAAGGAUGAGCAGGAUGCGAGGGAUGGGAAGAAGGACAGAAGGCAUUCUGUGGACGCCAUGAGCAAAGCGUCACCCAUUGGUCUUGAUCACUGUCGCUGUGAUCCACGUAGGAGGAGAGGAAGCUUCAUCAGGCGCCAGCAGAAUGGACGAGGACACACACAUGAUUGUGUGAAGGAUGGGACGUCCUUGGGCUCAGAGGGCUGGGCUUCAUGUCAGUGACAUGAUCUGGGAUCUAAUUCUGGGCGUGCCAGACAGUGCCACAAUCUCUUCCCCCAUAAAAUAAAGGGACUGGGCAAGAUGACCUCUAAAGUUCUCUACCAUUCUGGAACAAGGGGAGAAAGAGAGACAGGUAACUCUGGACUUUGAGGACCAGUCCCAACAAGAGGAGGUGAGUCAGGAGGGGAAAUGGGUGUGGGAAGAAGACUUGAGUUUUAAGUAAGUCAGGCGGACCCCUUCGUGACCCUUCCCCUUCCUUUCACUGGUUCAUCUUGAGGGGACCUCGGCCACUUCCCACCUCCAGGGGAGCAUGACCCUGGCUGCGUCAAGGCCAGAGCACACGAGGAAGUGGCCUUUGCUCCAGAAACUUCAGAAGCUUCGUCCGCUUCUCCCUCAGGAAACAAACACUUCCUCAUCACCUACACAAUCUCGGUGUGCUCGCAGGUGAGGGGGAACUCCCCUAAACUGACGAGUUUCCAUCGCCCCAGGGGAACGGGCGCUUGGAACAGAAAGUCGCAGUGCUGAGAAAUGAACCGAAGUGUGCCCCCUGCAUGCUGUGUCGGGACCCAGCUGGGAGGGGUCGGCCAUGAGCAGAGAGGGGAGGCCCUUUCCGGCACCAGGAGCAGAUGUAGCCCCUUCUUCAUCCACGCAGGGCUUUGAGGUCUCAGAUGGGCCUGGGCCUGGGCCUGGGCCCGCGACCGCACGGGCGAGCUCACACAGGGCCGGCCUCAGCCCGUGGGGCCGCCACAGUCUGCGUCUGAUUUCAAGUCCUUGGCCUGCAGCACAAUCUGUUAAGAGUAAGUUGACACCAAACUGGCUUUCUCUAGAAAGCACCUGGAAACUGGCUUCCUCGGAGCGCAAGAGCAGGAUUUCUGUGGGGAGGAAGGCCCCUUCCAGGGUGGGCCUGAGCUUACAGUCCUCGGUCUCCAGUGACAGCCCCUGAAGGAAGAAGCCACGUCUUCAAGCUCAGGUGGUGGGAGUAGUUCGCUCAGCCUGGCCCAUGGAAUCCAGCACUUUACCUGAUCUUCUUGGCUCUGCUCUGAAAGGGGUGCCUUCCUCCUGCCACAGGUAGGCCCCCAUCACCUCCAGAGCCUGCCUCUCCGUCCACCUCUGCUCUGCUCAGAAAAAGUCUUCGCUUACUUCCAGAAUCAGGAGAGAGGUUGGAAACUGGGCCCAGUUAUCUCACGGACAUUUAUUCUCUCGUAGGAGCCUCUUUGGGGAGGGAAGAUGGGCUUCUGUCACUUUCCUUCCUUCCUUGGGACAAAAUGCACUGUUUCCUGCUCUUCGUUCGCAUCUGCAGUUGAUCCUGGAAUUGGUCACAGUGCUUUGUGUGGCCAGUACAUUAAGUGCAAUUCCAGACCCGAGAACAAAACAAUGGUUUGCUCUGUUUUCUCAG